AUCAAAGGGACACAAGACAAAGGCACCAAAUAAAUCAAGCACGGAACUCGAAAGAUGAUGCAUG
rnacentral:sRNA from 1 species